ACAUCAGCAUCCCACAUGGUCUGUUCAUGUUUCCAUCUAUGGAAGGAAAUGAGGAAAGAAAAAAAAAUGACUUUCCUUAAUAGGAUAGACAUAGGUUAGGAAAAAAAGACUUCAUUGACAGGAUGGGGCAAAGAUGGCUCUUACCUUAUUAUUAGGAGAGAGAGAGAGUGCAUUUAAAGGGAGAAAAGAAUUUUGAUGCUUAAUAGGAUGGUCCACUUAAUUUGAUUUAAAUGGCGGAAUGGAACUUUUGAUCUUAGGAAAAAAAAAGAGAUUGAACAAAUAGAUGGUCAAAUCUAGAUCAUUUCAUCCUCAUCCCUCGGCCAUUUUAUCUAUGGAUAUGUGAAGCCAUAGCACGAAAGAAGUAGUAUCAUAGAUGGAAGAGAC
rnacentral:lncRNA from 1 species